GGCAGCAGCUAAGAAUAUUCCGCAAUGGUCGAAAGACUGACGGAGCGACGCCGCGUGAAUGAUGAAGGCCGUGAGGUUGUAAAGUUCUUUUCUGGAGGGAGAAUAAGUGCAUCAGGGAAUGGGUGCAUGAUGACGUGAAUCCAGGAAUAAGCCCCGGCUAACUACGUGCCAGCAGCCGCGGUAACACGUAGGGGGCAAGCGUUGUUCGGAAUUAUUGGGCGUAAAGGGCGCGCAGGCGGCCUGGCAAGUCUGCUGUUAAAUGGUUGAGCUUAACUCAAUCAUGCGGUGGAAACUACAAGGCUAGAAUCAACGAGGGGAUGCCGGAAUUCCAGGUGUAGGGGUGAAAUCUGUAGAUAUCUGGAAGAACACCAAUGGCGAAGGCAGGCAUCUGGCGACUGAUUGACGCUGAGGCGCGAAGGUGCGGGGAGCAAACAGGUUUAGAUAUCCUGGUAGUCCGCACAGUAAACGAUGUGCACCAGGUGGCGGGUAGCAGUACUCGGUACCGAAGCAAACGCAUUAAGUGCACCGCCUGGGGAGUAUGCUCGCAAGGGUGAAACUCAAAGGAAUUGACGG
rnacentral:rRNA from 1 species